GCUGGGAUAGCUCAGUUGGUAGAGCAUGAGGCUUGUGAUCUCAGGGUUGUGGGUUCAAGCCCCACACUGGGCA